UUGAACGCUGGCGGCAUGCUUUACACAUGCAAGUCGGACGGCAGCACAGAGAAGCUUGCUUCUUGGGUGGCGAGUGGCGAACGGGUGAGUAAUAUAUCGGAACGUACCGAGUAAUGGGGGAUAACUAAUCGAAAGAUUAGCUAAUACCGCAUAUUCUCUGAGGAGGAAAGCAGGGGACCUUCGGGCCUUGCGUUAUUCGAGCGGCCGAUAUCUGAUUAGCUAGUUGGUGGGGUAAAGGCCUACCAAGGCGACGAUCAGUAGCGGGUCUGAGAGGAUGAUCCGCCACACUGGGACUGAGACACGGCCCAGACUCCUACGGGAGGCAGCAGUGGGGAAUUUUGGACAAUGGGCGCAAGCCUGAUCCAGCCAUGCCGCGUGUCUGAAGAGGGCCUUCGGGUUGUAAAGGACUUUUGUCAGGGAAGAAAAGGCUGUUGCUAAUACCGACAGCUGAUGACGGUACCUGAAGAAUAAGCACCGGCUAACUACGUG
rnacentral:rRNA from 1 species